GACGGCUUGCGAGUCUAGUGUUACACCGGCUAUGCUGAGAGCGGCCACAAGAAAUUUAUUUGCUCGUCCUGUGAUGAAGAGAACAUUGUGACCAACUGUUUUCGAGACAAGGCAGUGGAGUACAAGCUUCGGAACACCACCCUCAAGUGCCUGAACCAGUCCUGUCCCUGGGAGGGGGAGAGCAGGUUCUAUCAGGUUUGAGUAAUGAUUACGCAUAAUUAUGAUAACUGCGACAAGCAAUAAUAGAGUUGUAUCACAAAUACUAGCUGUCUGUCAACAUGAUGCCGCUUUGAACACACUAUGUUAGCUAGCUAGACAUAACGUGUGUUGGUACUAGUGCUCUUAGAGGACGGCACAGAGUGUACCCUAAUAAUUCAACAUUGUCCUACAGAAAAUUAUCAUGACUGGGAAGGUACAAUUCACGAUUCGAUCAGACAUGACAUGGUAUAUGCCUUUCGAAAACUGGUGAGAAUUAAAUUAUUGUCAUGCGUUCAAUCAAGGAGCUGACCAACUAAAAUAGCACUGAUAUUAGCUAUCAUCAGCUAGGGUUGCUCAUUCUAGCUGUCAUCAAUGAACUGCUCUUUAGAUUGUUUGUAUGGGACACGUCAUGCAAGUAAACAAUGAAUAUGAUUAUUUUCUGUAUCCCAUACUCAACCGAAGAAGCAGAAAUCACUGUAUUUGUUGUUCUAUUUUCUGUAUAGGAGCAUAAUAAAUCCUGUAAGUAUAUGGAGCAGUACAAUGUCCCAACUUGAUAUACGGCUGUAAAGGGGAACUGAUUAGGAGUCAAUUACAGGACCACCUUAACAAUAAAUGCAACUUCAACCCGAUCACUUGUCGAUGGUGUGGACAACACACCCUCAAUAAAGACAUUCACAUUCAGAAGGAGUGUGAGAUGGCACUAGACUGCUGCCCCAAUGGGUGUGGGGAGGGUUACCUAGGAGAGAGGUUAGUUAUAAUGGAUAUCAUGUACAUAUCUAUGAUUUCCUGCUGUAUGUGACCAAUAUUUUAUUUUUAUUAUUAAUGAUCUUUACCCACUCCCUACAGGUGCUCAAGCAUACUAGGACAGUAUGCACUCACCAAGUAAGAGAAUGCGACUACAAAGACUUGGGGUGCACCUACAAGGGUACCAUCAAGGACCUAACAAAGCAUGCAAAGGACUACCCCGCAUAUCACAACCAACUACUGAAAAUGGCUUACAAAGAAAUGAAGCAAUCUCUGGACCACCAAAUUGCCUUAAUAGACAACUGUUGCAGGCAAACUGUUCUCCUGCAACAGUGACGGCUUGCGAGUCUAGUGUAAUAUUUUAAUCGGCCUGAGGCUAGUGUAACACUUGCU